GCACCUGAGUCUUUCCCAUUCCCUGCUGCUCUGUGCUGGUGUGGGGACGGAUGGUGCCACAGCGUGGGCAGAGGAAAUCCAGACGGGCUGUUUUCCAUUCACCUUGGAGCCUGUCUCUACAGCUCUGCUACAUUU
rnacentral:snoRNA from 14 species